CUAGUUUAUCACAAAAUAACUGUAACUGUAAUUACAGUCGAUAAGUUUACCCACGAAAUGAAACUGAUGAAGAUUGUUUUUGUCGUAUUUUAAAAUCAAGUUUAUUUUUGACAAAAUUGUUUUGUUGCAUGAUACGUGUUCUAUUUCUUCCUAUUUGUCAAACAUUGCUAGAAGUUUCAAGAACGUUUUUAAUGUUGAUGGUGCUGAAAUCAAGUUGAAUUUAAUAGUCAUCUAAAUUUAAGAAGUGGUGCUUGCAUGUUCUUUGAAGCUAUUAAAAGUGAGAAAUGCCUUUUCUUUUUUUCUUAGAAAUGAACAGCUUAGUGGAAGAACUGUGGCUAAGUGACAUUUUUAAAAAAAAAAGAUUUUUCAGCGAAAGUUCUUAUUUGAGCUUUAUUUAAAUGUAUAACGUUCAUUUAUAAUGCUAAAUCAAUUCAUUCCGAAGAUACUUUAGAGGAAGAACCUUUCUAUGUGACAUUUUUUAAGUAUUCAGCUGAUGAAAGAGCUGGUUAGGUAUCUUGGCGACAAAUAGUCAACAAACCCUAGAAAAUCUCUGGUUAGGCACCGAAUGCUAAAGCGCAGGGGAAAAGAAAUUGGUUAACAGUAAAAACUUGAAGCAGCAGAUUGCAUUUAUUCAGGAGGAAUUCAUGUUUAUUUAGGAAUUAAUAAUUGCGGAGAUGAUUGUGCUCCAGAAAAAAUCCGAAUUUCUGGAUUUUUCGCAAACUGCAAUACGGAAGUUUCUCGAAAUCCAACGUCCAGAAGUUUCAAGAAAAUCAUUGAUCACAUUUAUGUAUAAUUCUUGUAUAUUUUAUU